rnacentral:rRNA from 1 species
CCUACGGGAGGCAGCAGUGGGGAAUAUUGCGCAAUGGGCGCAAGCCUGAUCCAGCAACGCCGCGUGAAGGAAGAAGGCUUUCGGGUUGUAAACUUCUUUUCUCAGGGACGAAGGAAGUGACGGUACCUGAGUAAUAAGCCACGGCUAACUACGUGCCAGCAGCCGCGGUAAUACGUAGGUGGCAAGCGUUAUCCGGAUUUACUGGGUGUAAAGGGAGUGUAGGCGGGGACGCAAGUCAGAUGUGAAAACCACGGGCUCAACCUGUGGCCUGCAUUUGAAACUGUGUAUCUUGAGUACUGGAGAGGCAGACGGAAUUCCUAGUGUAGCGGUGAAAUGCGUAGAUAUUAGGAGGAACACCAGUGGCGAAGGCGGUCUGCUGGACAGCAACUGACGCUGAGGCGCGAAAGCGUGGGGAGCAAACAGGAUUAGAUACCCGGGUAGUC